GAAAUGCGAUAAGUAGUGUGAAUUGCAGAAUUCAGUGAAUCAUCGAAUCUUUGAACGCACAUUGCGCCCCUUGGUAUUCCAUGGGGCAUGCCUGUUCGAGCGUCAUUUGUACCCUCAAGCUCCGCUUGGUGUUGGGUGUUUGUCCCCGUCUCCGCGCGUGGACUCGCCCCAAAGUGAUUGGCAGCCGGCGUACUGGUCCCGGAGCGCAGCACAUGUCGCGCAAACGAGUGCCUUGGUACGGCGGCGUCCAUAAGCCCCUCUCUCACGCUCUUGACCUCGGAUCAGGUAGGGAUACCCGCUGAACAUAAGC
rnacentral:misc_RNA from 1 species